rfam:Brevundimonas diminuta ATCC 11568 genomic scaffold BDIM_scaffold00005, whole genome shotgun sequence.
AUAGCGGACCGGGCCCCUCUGGCGACCCUUCAUCGCGAUGUCGGCCGCGUCG